AAGCGGAGACGUAGCGAAAGCGAGUCUGAAUAGGGCGCAUAAGUAACAGGUUGUAGACCCGAAACUAGGUGAUCUACCCCUGUCCAGGAUGAAGGUAAGGUAAUACUUACUGGAGGUCCGAACCCACGAAUGUUGAAACGUGCGGGGAUGAGGUGAGGGUAGCGGAGAAAUUCCAAUCGAACUUGGAGAUAGCUGGUUCUCUCCGAAAUAGCUUUAGGGCUAGCCUCGAGGUAAAGAGUCAUGGAGGUAGAGCACUGUUUGGACUAGGGGCCCUUCUCGGGUUACCGAAUUCAGAUAAACUCCGAAUGCCAUGUACUUAUACUCGGGAGUCAGACUGCGAGUGAUAAGAUCCGUAGUCGAAAGGGAAACAGCCCAGACCACCAGUUAAGGUCCCCAAUUAUAUGUUAAGGGGAAAAGGAUGUGGGGUUGCUUAGACAACCAGGA
rnacentral:rRNA from 1 species